UGGGGAAUAUUGGACAAUGGGGGCAACCCUGAUCCAGCCAUGCCGCGUGCGUGAAGAAGGCCUUAGGGUUGUAAAGCGCUUUCAGCGGGGAAGAUAAUGACGGUACCCGCAGAAGAAGCCCCGGCUAACUCCGUGCCAGCAGCCGCGGUAAGACGGAGGGGGCUAGCGUUGUUCGGAAUUACUGGGCGUAAAGCGCGCGUAGGCGGUUUGCCAAGUUGAGGGUGAAAUCCCGGGGCUCAACCUCGGAACUGCCUUUAAAACUGAUACUCUAGAGUCCGGAAGAGGGUCGCGGAAUUCCCAGUGUAGAGGUGAAAUUCGUAGAUAUUGGGAAGAACACCGGUGGCGAAGGCGGCGACCUGGUCCGGUACUGACGCUGAGGCGCGAAAGCGUGGGGAGCAAACAGGAUUAGAUACCCGCGUAGUCC
rnacentral:rRNA from 1 species